AAUACGUUCCCGGGCCUUGCACACACCGCCCGUCAAGCCAUGGAAGCUGGGUGUACCUAAAGUCGGUAACCGCAAGGAGCCGCCUAGGGUAAAACUAGUGACUGGGGCU
rnacentral:rRNA from 1 species